GUCUGACUUGUCAUUUUCUGCCUGUGUGUUACAGAGCACACUUUGUGCAUUCCUCUCCUCUUUGAGUUCAGUGCAUUUCCCUCUGAAAGGCAUUCAGACCGCUGGCUUGUGGAGCACCAGUUCCUCUCUAGUAUGAGUUUGACACCACGCAACAUUCCAGACCAACUCUUUGGAGGCAGUUGUGAAUAGCAGUCUGAUAGCUCAUGCUCUGGGAGGGGUGCUGCCACAGGUCCAUCGCUUGGCCUUUCUCACCCGUCUCACCAAACAGACCUUGCCCGGUGACCUGAGCGUUCCCCCAGAGCCCAGCACUGCACGGCACUGGGACAUCCGCCUUCCAUCCCUUUGUGGAAGAGAAAAUAAACUUUCUGUGUCCUCCCAGACCUCCCACGGACCCCUCAGACCCCCGGCUGCCUAUGACCCCCUCGCUCAGCUCAGCGCCCGCAGUGCUGGUGGGCGGCUGCAGCACUUCAACCUCCUCCAGCUGGAAAGUGUUGCCAGAGUGAAUCACUUUGCUUUCUUAUUACUGCAGUUAGAAGCAAGCCGAAACUUGCCAUUUGCAAGAGGCUUUGGCCAGAGAAGCAGUCAUCAGGAAGAAAAAAACUGCUCUUAUCAGCCUCAGGGAUCACUGUUGUUCUCAGGAUUGCAGGACAGAAAGAAGAUACUUAAGAUAAUAUAUCAAGAUUUUGAGCAGAGUGGUGUUCCGCGGUAUGUUCUCAAAGAGAUCUGUGCUUUACCAGCUCUCUUUCACCAUCGGGUGAGAAGAAAACAGAAAAGUUUCUGCAAAACAACUGUUGAGAAAGUCUGAGCUGGUGGAAGUUGGAAGAGUGGCCAGGAUGAGGAAGAAUAAGCUCUGGGCUCCCCAGGAACUGCUACCCCAGGGAGGCAGGGCUGCUUGGGUGAUCCUGGUAGGCUGUGUAAUCCCCAGAGCAGGUGUUCUGAUCUGCAUGUGAGCUGGAGCUCGGUGAUAGUGUGCCAAACCUUGCUGUAGUUUGGGGGUAGAGCUGAUCCCAGUGGAUUUACUUCUUUCCAUAGACGUGCUGUAUUGCUAUUCAAGCUCACUUAUAAAUCAAAAGUGUUGGACUGAAGCCUUUGUCCUAGGCAUACCUAUACUUAAAAUGACCACUAAUGCUGUCUGCUAUGACCAGUGAAACCAGCAUCUCUGACGUGGGUUACAGUUCACAGAAGAAAAGUCUUGCCCAAGAAUCCCAAAUAGAGCCAAUGACUGUUUGUCAUUUGACUGUUGAAAGCUACACAGCACAGAAACAACACAUUCUUCUUCUGCCCUUCAGUAAAGCGCAUAGAGUUGAAUGAAAUAUAAAUAUGGUAUUUAAUUAAUUUGUUUUAGUAUCUCACUACAAUUAGUACAAAACUGUGGGACAAGCCAAGAAAUAAAUAUUUUAAAGUAAAUCUUGGGCCUCCGGUUUAGUAAGAUAACACAGUAUACAUUUUCUCUUUGUAUCUCCGGAGUCCACAAAUACUGAGGAAGAUGUAUGUGUCUCCGAGGGUCUCCAUCACAGCUGGUUCAGUGCUGAGCGCUUGUGUGGUGUUCCCCAGUAAUAACCUCAUGGCCUCUCAGUUUUGAUGUAUAAAUAAGUUUGUUAGUUUGCACAGUUGCACCACCAAACAUACAUUGAACUAUUCUGCAUCCGAGGGAGGGUUGAUUCCACAGCAGAGAAGGCAGACAGCAGCAAAAUAAUGCUGUUAAUCCUUCUGCCUCUACAGUACUGUUCUGUGUAGACUUUGCCUAGUCAUUUGGUGCUGCAAAACAGGUGCUGAGGAUUAUUCAAGCAAAACUCCCUCGUCAAACCAGCAGCGGUGUUUUGCACUGACUUAGCAUAGGUAUAAGGCAGUACACAAGUGAAAUCUGGAGAAGCAUCUUCCAUGUCUGAUAAGUCUGGCACCUCUCAGCACCACUCAAAUUGCCUCCAGCCUCCCACGCUUUGAGACUGUGUGUUACAAUUCUGCUGUGGAAAACCUCCCGAGGAUGCUGCUGCUGCUGCGACAGGGUUUGUCCUUCAGUGCUGCCAGCCACCAGGGUCAGACCCUGCUGGGUCACACCUGGCAGUCCCAGGGAGAGCCCUCGCUCCUGCUGCGCAGUCGGUGUUUGGUUUCGUGCCCCUUCUGUGGGCACUGUGAUUAAAGGGGAGCUUUGCUUUUUCUGAAGAAACUUGAGACCAAACGGCUGCGGCUCACUGUGGGAAUGAUUGCUGCUCAGCUCUGGUUGCAGGAAACAUUUUGAGGGGAGAAAACUGACAAAGGAGAAAAAGGCUGCAUUAGUAACGAACAGAAAGAGAAACACGGUAGGGAUGAGAAGACUGAGAGGCAACAUUAGCAGGAGAAGGUCCCUCAAGUGCUCUGAGCAGGCAUCUCACAGCACGCAGCUGGGCGUGUGCUUGUGCUUGCAUUAGGGUUUCUUAGCAAGCAGCUGUGAGCUAUUGGAGAUGUGUAUUGGAAUAUGCAAGGAGGGAAUACAAAUGCAGAAAAAGGAAGGAAUAUCCGUAUUAUAUAACUAAUUCAAAAAAGGGGAAUAGAGGAAAAUAAGACCUGAUAAAACAGAGCAAUGUGAAAAGUUACAAAAAGUAAUUGUAUCUUAAAAGCUUGAGACACUUAGAAAGGCAUGAAAACAUAUUUGCUGUAUCAGAAAUAAAAAAGUAAGAAGAUGCUGUGAGCACAAAGCUGUCCUGUAAAGCCGGGCAGUGUGUGCAAAACAGUUGUGUGACGAACCACAGGAAUCCCAAGUUGCAGUCACCACAAGAGCAGAACAAGCUCAGCUAAUUGCUAUGUGCAGAAGAGGGUGCCUGGAAGUGCAGAAGGGAGAGAUCCACUCGUAGGAGCUGUUUCCUGUCUGAGAAAAAUGUGGUUAGGUGCAUCUGAACUGAGAUGGAGAGGGUGAAAUUUCUCACAGAAAAGCUCUCCCUGUGAGGAUGUAUAUUUACGGAGCUGGUGAUGUGAUGCUGCUGAGCAGCAGGCCUUGUGCAGGCACACAGCUCAACCCAAAUGUUGGGAGGGUGAGUGCUGACAUAAAUCACACUGUGUGUGAACGUUCACAUCAGACAUCUUAUUAAUGUUGCCCAUGCACGUAUACAGUCAUUCAAAUUAACUAGUUUGCUGUGGCUUUUAAAGCUUAUAUGGCUAAAGUGUAUUGAGUUCUGCUUUCAGAUGCUGUGCCCAGCUUUACAGAGCAGUACUGUAUUCAUAGCUUCUUGCAUUUUUAAUUCUGAUACAGAGACGCCAAGCGUGCAGCAUGGUUCUUUGAGACCUGGGGUCAGUGACCUGCAACAGGGAGAUGGAGAGCAGCCCUGGACGUGGCAAGUUCCCCUCUGGUGCUGCUGUAGCUGUGCCCACAGCAGCUGUGUUUUGCAGCCAUAUGAGCUGGAAAGCAUGGACUUGGUCCACAUAUCUGCUUGCUUGCUUUAGCCUUUAAAAUUUAUUACAAGUGGGAAAAGAAGUAUAGAGAAAACAGCAAUUAUACAUUCUCACUUGUGAGCUGGGGUUGGCAUUGGGUUCUGUAGGAAAUCAGGCCUGGAAUCUUCGGUAGCUUAUUGGUAAAUCCCAUGAGGAAAAAAAUGCAUUUGCAAAACCACGCUUCAAGUGAAACAUCUCUAUCUAAUGUGUUAUCAGCUUAACAGGGUACUAAGAAAUAGUUCUCCACUACAGAAAACAGUUGUUUGACCCUGGUACAUUUUAAUUAUCAAAUUCUUGCAACAGCCCAUCUGUAAUUAAGCUCCCAUCAGCUUCCCUGGUUCCAGGUGAGGCCGUGCAUUUGUGAUUCUGGUGGUGCCAGGAAGGCAGCCAGCAUUUCAUGCUUUGAGAGUGGUUAUCACUUCUUGGGUUGUAAUGCACACACAAAGCAGCAUCCCAUGUUUUGCUUCCACUGUGUUUCUGGGUUAAAUCAUGUCCUGUGUGAGUGACUCAUUGCUCUUGAAUUCAUCAGCUUGGGACAAAAUUUAAGUUCUAAAUGAUUCACUAGUAAGGUGUAGUGGGUUUCUUUCCAGAAGAGAAAAUAAAUCGUAAAUACUGCUGAGGCAUAUCUAAUGCACAUUUACCUCUGUGCAGUAAUAGUCACUGAAAGUGGGGCAUGCCGAAAACCUGGGGCAGAUGCUGGGAGGGAGUGGGGCAGGCUGCAUGGGGAGGGCUGCAGGAGGGGCCGUGGGGCUAAUCCUGUCUGCCUGCCCCAUCUGUGUGAGUUAAGCUGCUCUACAUUCUGCUUUCGAAUCUGAACACAGAGCCAUGCUGCAGCAGCACCACCUGUGCUCGUGUGGGGUGCUCUGUGAGCCCGCAGCCCUGGGGUGUGGGAAUUCUCCUUUUAAGCAGGCUGCUGGCUGUCUCAAGCGUGAGGGCUCUGUGCAGGGAGGCUUUGCUGCCCGAUGAGAUGAGAGCUGAGCCAACACUCCUGCUUCUUGCUAUGGCUCUCAAGCUGCGGCUGCUCUUCUCUGGGCCGCUUCUGCAGUGCACUGUGCCCCAUUCGUAUGGGGUCAACCAGAGAUGGAAAAACCAAAAGUGAUCUUGUGAGGUGAUGUCAUUGUCACCACUUCCAGCUCUGCUGGCCCUUCGCUGGCUGCCCCUCAAUGCACUGCUGUGUCCCCAUGCUGAAGCCAGCCAGCAGGCACUGCAUUGGAGAAGACAACUUGGUUGGGAUUAUGGAUUUUAAAACUUUGUGGAACAAUUUAAGCCACUGGAACUUUUGCUGUAAAGAAAUAUAAGCUUCUUUUGAUGUAAAACACUGUGUGGAACAUUAGAAUACUUGCCCAUUUACUGCCAUUUUUCAGUUCUGAAUAGAGUGAGUUUUUGGCAGGAUGCGAAGAUCUGUUAUGUAUUUUAGCUCAUGGGAAUUCUCCUAUUUCAAUUGAUUUUUCUUUUUACUGAUUUCAGCAGCUGUGUGUACAUUUAAGAAAGACAAGAGGAAGGGAUGUGAGAUGAAAGGAGAAGUGGGAAUGGGUACAGAAAAGAGAAUAAAACAGAGCAGGAGGAGAAGAAAGGCUUUGAGUUUCACUAAAGGAACAUGGGAGAAAGCAGAGCAUGCAACAGACCGCGUGUCCCUCUCUCGGGUUCUUUUUUUCCUAUUUCAUCUUCCCUAAGAAAACCAGGAGUGAUUUUGAAAGCAGUGUCCAGAUUUUAGCUGUCUGUUCUUGCUCCCUUUCUCUUUCCCAGCACUACAUGGCCCAGCAGCACCCAGCUCUGGUCCCAACCCAUGGGAGGGGUCUGGGAGCAGUCAGGAAGGUGACCAUGUGUGCCCUGGUCCUGCUCCUGCUCCCCACGUGGAGCUGUGCAUGCACUGCCUGCCCUGCUCUGACACCCACUGCUGCUACAGGGGGCAUUUUGCUGCUGCUGUGGGACUUUGCUCGGCUGCAAAUAUUUGUGCAGGAGUGAGUUCGUGUUUUCAGCAUGAGCAGCAGAAGCUGUGUGUUUAAGUCAGUGGGUAACAGAGCAUGUGUUCCAAGAGCAAAUUAAUUCCUGUGCAAAUCAGAGAGAUCUGCUGCUAUAUCAGUGCCCCACACAGCCCUCCCUGUAACCUUCAUCAUGGGGGGAAGCUGAGGAAAGGAUAUGCUUCCCUUCCUACCUACCAAUAAUUGUCUGUAAUCAUCAGAUUAACUUGUUACUGAGAGCUAUGAAAUGAUCCUAUUCCCUUUUGAUCCAAUGAGGAUGAGAAUAAAGCAAGAAAUUAAUCAGGGAUCCAUAAAUAGGAACACCAGCUAAGAAAUGCAUUCUUAACACGUUCAUAAACCACAUGAAUAAUUUGUACAGUACGAUAUAUGUACUAUCAUGUUUUGAUAGGCAUUUUCACUGACAUACCCUGUGGGUGUUCCUCUUCAUGUCACAGGAAGGAAUUUUUCCAGGAAUGCUCAUCAAUAGAUAAAACCUGAUUGUAUCAAAUAACUUGGCAUUGCUUCUGUUCAGCAAAUGGGCUCCUCCGAGUUGGUUCCAGCUCUGGCAAGUACUUGAUAAAUGGAGCCCAGUUCUCAAGUUCUGUUCUGAUUAUGUUUAUUCACUACUGGGGUAGGGCAGAUAAGGCCCUCAGGCCUGAUCCAGUGCCACAGAAGGCAGUGAAAGGCUCCAUAGGCUUUUUCAUCUCUGGAAUCCUGCACUCUGGGCCUCUAAACUUUCGGAUCCAUACCAGCAACUGCAUCAAUAACUGAAAAACUGGGAGAAAGGCGAAGAGCAAACUUCUGGACAGUCAGAAAGAAGGAAAGAGGAAUGAAAGGGGGCAAUAAAUUCUCAACAGAUGUCUUCAACUAGCUUUCGUAGAAGAUGACUGAAAGCACAAGUAACCUCUGACGCUUUUAUGGAAGCACCAAGUUUCUAAAGGCCUUUUGAUAAAGUUCAAGUGAACAUCUUGGGUCUUAAGGCCAUCUAUUCUGCAAGUAGCCUGAAGUUCAGUCUUCUGUACAUUAACUGCAUUCACCUUGACUUUUUGUGAGUCCCCACAUCUCCCAAGUCCUACCACUGUUAACAGAUUUAUUUUCACAGGUUUUAAUGAUUGACUAACUGGAAAGUUGAUAAAAAGUCACUUUUUCUAAUGAAAUGCUUAUAUGUUUGCUUUCAGUGUUGUAGGAACAGUCAGCAAUGACCUCUCUACUUGAAUUAUGGUGAUGAUUUUUUAAAAUGUUGCAUUUCUCAUGGAGAAACUCUGAUGGCCGAAUCUCUGGAGCCACCCUUUGAAAUUCAUCAGGGAUAAUGUUCCUUAUCUAUCAGAAGGAGAUUCAGUCUGACAGUACCAGGUUUAUGCUCAUCUGUUUUCUUCAUACUCACUACAGCACUUCUCCCUUCUCAGUUAUUGUUCCCAAAGCACUGCCUGGAUGUGCAGGACAGCAUUCUGUUUAUUUUGACGUUUCUUACAAGCUCUUGAUUUUGCAACUUGCGUUAUUAUACUACAUAGACAAGUUCUACUAUAACUUAGCUAUGUAUGUGUUUUCCUCUUUUGCCCUCAGAUACCGAAUGUGUUUGUAUUUUGAAGUAUUGAGAUCUUCAGAACUUUACCUCCGACCUGAGAAUUUAAUCCUAUUCAAUCCAUGCAGUACAUACAGUGUGCGCUAUGACUGCUGGGAUUUGGUAAAGCAUAUUUUCCUUAUAAUAAUUUGCAGUUCUGCUUAUGGGUCUGUGGCACACUCAGCAUCAUGCAAAGCAUCCAGGCAUCUUCUGGCAGUGCCCCUUCUGAACUGCAGACAUCUCUGCUGUUUGCAUUCUUUCUAUAGAUCAUAUUAUUUGCUUUCUACAGCUGUAACCAUUCCAACUUCUUUUUCUGUAGAUUACCCCCAAGUAUCCACACCAAGAACUGACUCAGUAUUCAAACACAGGUCUUCACAGUGCUCAGCACAUUGCCUGAUACACCUUACAGAAAACACUCCAACCAGAACAGUAUGGGGAGAGCUGAAAACCACCGGAGACUUAUUAAGAAAACUAUUAAAAACCAUUAAACACUAUGGGUUUUUUUUUCUGGAGUUGCAUCAGGGAGAGUUCAGGUGGGGGUCAGGGAACGGUUCUACUCCAGAGGGCGGUAGGCAUGGAACAGGCUUCCCAGGGCAGUGUGCACAGCCCUGAGUACCGGAGUUCAAGGAGCAUUUGGACAACACUCUCAGACACUGGGUUUGGAUUUUGGGUGGUCUGGGAGUUGGAUGUGAUGAACCUUCAGGUCCCUUCCAACUCAGGA
ensembl:lncRNA